rnacentral:rRNA from 1 species
ACCUGCGGAGGAUCAUUAUCGA